rnacentral:rRNA from 1 species
UACGUAGGGACCGAGCGUUGUCCGGAAUCAUUGGGCGUAAAGAGCGUGUAGGCGGCUAUUUAAGUCCUGCGUGAAAUCCUGCGGCUCAACCGCAGACGGUCGUGGGAAACUGGAUGGCUAGAGUGCGGGAGAGGAGAGUGGAAUUCCCGGUGUAGCGGUGAAAUGCGCAGAUAUUGGGAAGAACACCAGUGGCGAAGGCGGUUCUCUGGGACGGUACUGACGCUGAGACGCGAAAGCGUGGGGAGCGAACAGG